UACGAAGGGGGCUAGCGUUGCUCGGAAUUACUGGGCGUAAAGCGCACGUAGGCGGCUUUCUAAGUCGGGGGUGAAAUCCUGGAGCUCAACUCCAGAACUGCCUUCGAUACUGGAAAGCUCGAGUCCGGGAGAGGUGAGUGGAACUGCGAGUGUAGAGGUGAAAUUCGUAGAUAUUCGCAAGAACACCAGUGGCGAAGGCGGCUCACUGGCCCGGUACUGACGCUGAGGUGCGAAAGCGUGGGGAGCAAGCAGG
rnacentral:rRNA from 1 species